rnacentral:tRNA from 3 species
GGGCAGUUAGCUCAGCUGGUAGAGCAUCGCCUUCACACGGCGGGGGUCACAGGUUCAAGUCCUGUACUGCCCACCA